AAAACCGUUUCAGAAAAAAAAAAGCUUUAAAAUCCUCUGAAAGAGGGGAGAGGAAAGGCCCUCCGGGCUCUCGCCUCCGUCAGGCUAAGCUCCGGUCUUCGGGCAUACACGUGCCCACCCGCCACCGCCAACGCGCCACCACACACGGUGGUCGGACGGUUAAAAACCCUUGUUCUUUCAAGAAAAUCGCAGGCAAUCGAGGAAAAUCCGGCGAUGAUCGUGCUGGUGAUGUAGAUCUACCGGUGGUGUUGAUCACGGUGUGAUUCGGAGCCUGGAAUCACGGCCUUGAUGGUGGACAGCUGGAACGACGCGAUACGAGCAGUCGCGUCGUUUGGAAUGUUUGCGGCGCGAAGGUUUCCCAAGAAACCCUAAGUCUCCUGAAACUAUUUGGUAUCCGGUCAAACACCAUUAUUGGGCCAUAGGGUUUAACUUGGGUCUGGUACGGGUUAUUGGGCUUAAGUCUAAAUGGGUGUAGGCUUAUUGGGUUGUAAACCGGGUACUCGAUAGUUGGGUUACGGGUUAAUGAGUUAAUAAAAUGUAAUUGGGCUGUAAAUGAAUUUUGGGCUUUGUACAUGGACUGUAAUAAAUAAACAUUUAUUUAUUUA